UACGGAGGGUGCAAGCGUUGCUCGGAAUUACUGGGCGUAAAGCGCGUGUAGGCGGUCUCGUAUGUCUGAUGUGAAAUCCCCGGGCUCAACCCGGGAAGUGCAUUGGAAACUGCGAGACUGGAGUCCCGGAGAGGAAGGUGGAAUUCCAGGUGUAGCGGUGAGAUGCGUAGAUAUCUGGAAGAACACCGGUGGCGAAGGCGGCCUUCUGGACGGUGACUGACGCUGAGACGCGAAAGCGUGGGGAGCAAACAGG
rnacentral:rRNA from 1 species